rnacentral:rRNA from 1 species
UACGGGGGGGGCAAGCGUUGUUCGGAAUUACUGGGCGUAAAGGGCUCGUAGGCGGCCAACUAAGUCAGACGUGAAAUCCCUCGGCUUAACCGGGGAACUGCGUCUGAUACUGGAUGGCUUGAGUUUGGGAGAGGGAUGCGGAAUUCCAGGUGUAGCGGUGAAAUGCGUAGAUAUCUGGAGGAACACCGGUGGCGAAGGCGGCAUCCUGGACCAACACUGACGCUGAGUGAGCGAAAGCCAGGGGAGCCAAAGCGGG